rnacentral:rRNA from 1 species
UACAGGGGGGGCAAGCGUUGUUCGGAAUUACUGGGCGUAAAGGGCUCGUAGGCGGCCAACUAAGUCGGAUGUGAAAUCCCCAGGCUUAACCUGGGAACUGCAUCCGAUACUGGAUGGCUUGAAUCCGGGAGAGGGAUGCAGAAUUCCAGGUGUAGCGGUGAAAUGCGUAGAUAUCUGGAGGAACACCGGUGGCGAAGGCGGCAUCCUGGACCGGUAUUGACGCUGAUGCGCGAAAGCCAGGGGAGCAAACGGG